rnacentral:rRNA from 1 species
CACACCGCCCGUCACACCAUGGAAGUCUGCUGCACCAGGAGUAGGUAGUCUAACCGCAAGGGGGGCGCCUACCACGGUGUGGCCGAUGACUGGGGUG